rnacentral:rRNA from 1 species
AGUGAACGCUGGCGGUAGGCCUAACACAUGCAAGUCGAACGGCAGCACAGUAAGAGCUUGCUCUUACGGGUGGCGAGUGGCGGACGGGUGAGGAAUACAUCGGAAUCUACUUUUUCGUGGGGGAUAACGUAGGGAAACUUACGCUAAUACCGCAUACGACCUACGGGUGAAAGCAGGGGAUCUUCGGACCUUGCGCGAUUGAAUGAGCCGAUGUCGGAUUAGCUAGUUGGCGGGGUAAAGGCCCACCAAGGCGACGAUCCGUAGCUGGUCUGAGAGGAUGAUCAGCCACACUGGAACUGAGACACGGUCCAGACUCCGACGGGAGGAAGCAGUGGGGAAUAUUGGACAAUGGGCGCAAGCCUGAUCCAGCCAUACCGCGUGGGUGAAGAAGGCCUUCGGGUUGUAAAGCCAUUUUGUUGGGAAAGAAAAGCAGCAGGUUAAUACCCCGCUGUUCUGACGGUACCCAAAGAAUAAGCACCGGCUAACUUCGUG